rnacentral:lncRNA from 1 species
GCUACCCUCCAACUGACUUCUUAUGGGUGACGUUAAAAAGCGUUUUUGCACUAGUGACAGUGUAAGGAGUGACGUAGGGGUCGGGUUGGGUAGGUGGAAGAGGACGAUGACAACGCAAUUUGGGAAAAUGUGGGGGAAUGAGAGGGUGAGACGGUGAGAAAAGGAGGGCUUGGACAUGUAGAAGGCGUUAAGUCACCAAGAAUCAAAGAGGGAGUAUAAACAGCGAAAUCGACAAUUGUGUUGUGGUAGAGAUAAAAAAGAGUGAGAGUUUGGGUUGUGGUGAGAGGUAAAUGAGGGAUGACAUUAGGGAUUCGAGAAGGAGGGAGUGGAAAGAAAGGAUUUUCGAAUUCAAGGGUUAGUCUCAUCCUAUCUUAACUCG